GAUGAACGCUAGCGGCAGGCUUAAUACAUGCAAGUCGAGGGGUAGCAAGAUUGUAGCAAUACAAUUGUUGACGACCGGCAAACGGGUGCGGAACACGUACACAACCUUCCUACAAGUGGGGAAUAGCCCAGAGAAAUUUGGAUUAAUACCCCGUAAUAUAGCGAUGUGGCAUCACAUUGCUAUUAUAGCUUCGUAGCUUGUUGAUGGGUGUGCGGCUGAUUAGAUAGUUGGCGGGGUAACGGCCCACCAAGUCUACGAUCAGUAGCUGAUGUGAGAGCAUGAUCAGCCACACGGGCACUGAGACACGGGCCCGACUCCUACGGGAGGCAGCAGUAAGGAAUAUUGGACAAUGGACGCAAGUCUGAUCCAGCCAUGCCGCGUGAAGGAUUAAGGUCCUCUGGAUUGUAAACUUCUUUUAUAAGGGACGAAAAAAGGUCUUUCUAGAUCGUCUGACGGUACCUUAUGAAUAAGCACCGGCUAACUCCGUGCCAGCCGCCGCGGUAAGAC
rnacentral:rRNA from 1 species